ACAAGAAAGCGACGAAAACAACUACACAAACUUGACAUAACCUUGACCGCAGCGAGGAGCCGUCAGGCAAUCGCUAGCAAGGAACAACGAGCGUACGUGUGUGUGUCUGUGCUGAGGUGGUCCGUGCUUAUCGCCAAUCAUCGGAGCCUUUGCUGGACGUGAACGCCCGUAGGAGGUGGGACAGGAGGCGCGAGGGACCAGCGAAGGACACUGCAUGAAGUGACGCUCGCCGACCCGCCCCCAUCAGUGCCCUCCGCGCCUCACUCACACGCACACACGCGGACACGCACAAACGCACAUGCCCUCAUCCAUGUACGCGAGGGAGAUGAACUGUGCACAUGCAAGUGACGUCCGGCUGAGUUGGUGAGGAGACGAGAGUUUGAGUGGCCUGUGGUGCGCUCGCCUGACACGCUGGGGAGGGUCGGCAAAUGUAUGGCUUUGUCCUGGAGCCAAACAAGCGCGUUGCCUUCACCUGUGUCGCUCCCUGUGGCUUUACGUGACAGAUGUUGCACCCAGGCGAGGCGAAGGCGCAGAAGGCAGCCUGGUUCGCGGUCUUUGUUUCCGGUUCGGAUAGCGGGCCCAGAUCGAGGCAGCUGACACCUGGACAACACUGGGCGCCUCGGACCCUCUAAGGACCGUGCGACACACCACUGGACGCCACGGUAAUCACGUCCGUGGCUGCUGGGAAUAUGACCCGUAUUCUGAAACGCUUUGCUCUCUCACAACGACUAUUUUCAAAGGCCACAGAGAUGAAUCACUGGGUUUUCAAGAGUGUUCCUCCUGUUAAUAAUGUGGAAAUUUUGUUAAUCUGUCACUUUAACUAUUUAAAAACAAUCCUUAAAAAUUUCUGUAGCUUCAGUUACGUAGAGCCUUUUCAAAAUAGUAGAGAGGCGUAGACUGUUUUCAAAGGUCACAAAGAUGAUUCACCGGGUUCUCUAGAGUGUUUCUCCUGUUAAUAAUGUAGAAAUUUUGUUAAUCUGUCACUUUAACAAUAAAAACAGUCCUUAAAAACUUGUGUAUCUUCAACUGGAGACUUUUCAAAAUAAUAGAGAGGCGUCGCAUCAGUGUUUCAAAAUAGGGUCUGCGCUGCAUCUCCACUACAUAUAAGUGACACGGGUUUUAAGGGUGUUUUUACAGUUCCAGUGACAGAUCAACAAGAUUUAUACGUUAUUAAGAGGAGAAAUACUCUUGAGAAGCCGGUUAAUCAUCUCUGUGGCCCUUGCAAAUAGUCGUGGCGAGAGAGGGAAGCGUUUCAGAAUGCGAGCCAAUUAGCCGUCACGUGGACAGCCAGAGAAUACAAAAUAUUAUGUAGCUGCAUUCUGUGUAUUUAUUUAUUUAUUUAUCUAUUUUAUUUUUUAUCGUUAUUCAAAAUUGCUUAAAAAUUCUUGUGUUGAAGGAACAGCCACGAGCAUUUUUUUUUCUCGCUUA